rnacentral:lncRNA from 1 species
AAGCCUAUUAAAGAUCAGCUUGGAUCAAGCUUUCAUUCGCAUCUGCCUGAACUCCACAUGUUUCAGACCCAAGGGAAAAUUGGUAAUCAAGUGGAGAAGUCUAUCAAUGAUGCUUCCUCAGCUUCAACAUCCCAAAUAAUUUGUAGGCUCAAAACCCAUAUUUCUAUUAAGUAUGGGAAGAAUUUCCUCUAUUCUUCAUUAUUCACACAAAUACAAGAAGUACACAUGAGGGAAAAACCUUUCCAAUGUAAUGAGUGUGGCAAAGCCUUUAAUCAUAGCUCAUGUUUAAGGAGACAUCACGUAACCCAUUCAGGAGAGAAACAGUAUAAAUGUGAUGUAUGUGGCAAAGUCUUUCAUCAGAAGCAAUACCUUGCAUGGCACCAUAGUGUUCAUACUGGAGAAAAACCUUACAAGUGUAAUGAGUGUUCCAAGACCUUCAAUCAGAAAUCACAACUUGAAACACACAGGAGAAUUCAUACUGGAGAAAAACCAUACAAACGUAACGAAUGUGGCAAGGCUUUUAGUAGAAAAGCAAACCUUGCACAUCAUAAGGCAAUUCAUACUGGAAAGAAACCUUACACAUGUAAUGAAUGUGGCAAGGUUUCUAAUCAACAAUCAAACCUUGCACAACAUCAGAGAGUUUAUACUGGAGAGAAACCUUACAAAUGUAAUGAUUGUCACAAAGUCUUCAGUAAUGCUACAACCAUUGCAAAUCACUGGAGAAUCCAUAAUGAAGACAGAUCUUACAAGUGUAAUAAAUGUGGUAAAAUUUUCAGACAUCGAUCAUAUCUUGCAGUUUAUCAGCGAACUCAUACUGGAGAGAAACCUUACAAAUAUCAUGACUGUGGCAAGGUCUUCAGUCAAGCUUCAUCCUAUGCAAAACAUAGGAGAAUUCAUACAGGAGAGAAACCUCACAAGUGUGAUGAUUGUGGCAAAGUCUUGACUUCACGUUCACACCUCAUUAGACAU